rnacentral:rRNA from 1 species
GUGCCAGACUCCUACGGGAGGCAGCAGUGAGGGAUAUUGGUCGAUGGGGGAAACCCUGAACCAGCAACGCCGCGUGAGGGAAGACGGUUUUCGGAUUGUAAACCUCUGUCCUCUGUGAAGAUAAUGACGGUAGCAGAGGAGGAAGCUCCGGCUAACUACGUGCCAGCAGCCGCGGUAAUACGUAGGGAGCGAGCGUUGUCCGGAUUUACUGGGUGUAAAGGGUGCGUAGGCGGCCCUGCAAGUCAGAAGUGAAAUCCAUGGGCUUAACCCGUGAACUGCUUUUGAAACUGCAGGACUUGGGUGGAGUAGAGGUAGGCGGAAUUCCCGGUGUAGCGGUGAAAUGCGUAGAGAUCGGGAGGAACACCAGUGGCGAAGGCGGAUUGCUGGACAGUAACUGACGCUGAGGCGCGAAAGCGUGGGGAGCAAACAGGAUUAGAUACCCGUGUAA